UACGAAGGGUGCAAGCGUUACUCGGAAUUACUGGGCGUAAAGCGUGCGUAGGUGGUUUGUUAAGUCUGAUGUGAAAGCCCUGGGCUCAACCUGGGAAUUGCAUUGGAUACUGGCAGGCUAGAGUGCGGUAGAGGGUAGUGGAAUUCCCGGUGUAGCAGUGAAAUGCGUAGAGAUCGGGAGGAACAUCUGUGGCGAAGGCGACUACCUGGACCAGCACUGACACUGAUGCACGAAAGCUAGGGGAGCAAACAGG
rnacentral:rRNA from 1 species